rnacentral:rRNA from 1 species
UACGUAGGGGGCGAGCGUUGUCCGGAGUUACUGGGCGUAAAGGGCAUGCAGGCGGUCGGACGCGUUUUGUGUGACAGCGGGUGGCUCAACUACGCGAGCAUACGAAAGACGGUUUGACUUGAGGGCUCGAGAGGGACACGGAAUUCCGGGUGGAGUGGUGAAAUGCGUAGAGAUCCGGAGGACACCGAAGGCGAAGGCAGUGUCCUGGCGAGUGACUGACGCUGAGGUGCGAAAGCCAGGGGAGCGAACGGG